rnacentral:rRNA from 1 species
GAUGAACGCUAGCUACAGGCUUAACACAUGCAAGUCGAGGGACGGGCGCACGGGUGAGUAACACGUAUCCAACCUUCCCUUUACUCGGGGAUAGCCUUUCGAAAGGAAGAUUAAUACCCAUUCUAAAGGAUGGGGAUGCGUUCCAUUAGGUUGUGGGUGAGGUAACGGCUGACCAAGCCUUCGAUGGAUAGGGGAUCUGAGAGGAAGGUCCCCCACAUUGGAACUGAGACACGGUCCAAAAUCGUACGGGAGGCAGCAGUGUGGAAUAUUAGGCAAUGGGCGCUAGCCUGACCCAGCCGAGUGGCGUGAAGGAUGAAUGCUUAUGGGUCGUAAACUUCUUGUAUAUAAGAAGAUGUAUUAUAUGAAUAAGGAUCGGCUAACUCCGUGCCAGCAGCCGCGGUAAUUC